CUCGGCGGACGGGUGAGUAAUGCCUAGGAAUCUGCCUGGUAGUGGGGGAUAACGUCCGGAAACGGGCGCUAAUACCGCAUACGUCCUGAGGGAGAAAGUGGGGGAUCUUCGGACCUCACGCUAUCAGAUGAGCCUAGGUCGGAUUACCUAGUUGGUGGGGUAAAGGCCUACCAAGGCGACGAUCCGUAACUGGUCUGAGAGGAUGAUCAGUCACACUGGAACUGAGACACGGUCCAGACUCCUACGGGAGGCACCAGUGGGGAAUAUUGGACAAUGGGCGAAAGCCUGAUCCAACCAUGCCGCGUGUGUGAACAAGGUCUUCGGAUUGUAAAGCACUUUAAGUUGGGAGGAAGGGCAGUAAGUUAAUACCUUGCUGCUUUGACGUUACCAACAGAAUAAGCACCGGCUAACUUCGUGCCAGCAGCCGCGGUAAUACGAAGGGUGCAAGCGUUAAUCGGAAUUACUGGGCGUAAAGCGCGCGUAGGUGGUUCAGCAAGUUGGAUGUGAAAUCCCCGGGCUCAAACCUGGGAACUGCAUCCAAAACUACUGAGCUAGAGUACGGUAGAGGGUGGUGGAAUUUCCUGUGUAGCGGUGAAAUGCGUAGAUAUAGGAAGGAACACCAGUGGCGAAGGCGACCACCUGGACUGAUACUGACACUGAGGUGCGAAAGCGUGGGGAGCAAACAGGAUUAGAUACCCUGGUAGUCCACGCCGUAAACGAUGUCGACUAGCCGUUGGGAUCCUUGAGAUCUUAGUGGCGCAGCUAACGCGAUAAGUCGACCGCCUGGGGAGUACGGCCGCAAGGUUAAAACUCAAAUGAAUUGACGGGGGCCCGCACAAGCGGUGGAGCAUGUGGUUUAAUUUGAAGCAACGCGAAGAACCUUACCUGGCCUUGACAUGCUGAGAACUUUCCAGAGAUGGAUUGGUGCCUUCGGGAACUCAGACACAGGUGCUGCAUGGCUGUUGUCAGCUCGUGUCGUGAGAUGUUGGGUUAAGUCCCGUAACGAGCGCAACCCUUGUCUUUAGUUACCAGCACCUCGGGUGGGCACUCUAAGGAGACUGCCGGUGACAAACCGGAGGAAGGUGGGGAUGACGUCAAGUCAUCAUGGCCCUUACGGCCAGGGCUACACACGUGCUACAAUGGUCGGUACAAAGGGUUGCCAAGCCGCGAGGUGGAGCUAAUCCCAUAAAACCGAUCGUAGUCCGGAUCGCAGUCUGCAACUCGACUGCGUGAAGUCGGAAUCGCUAGUAAUCGUGAAUCAGAAUGUCACGGUGAAUACGUUCCCGGGCCUUGUACACACCGCCCGUCACACCAUGGGAGUGGGUUGCUCCAGAAGUAGCUAGUCUAACCGCAA
rnacentral:rRNA from 1 species